rnacentral:rRNA from 1 species
UAGGGAAUUUUCGUCAAUGGGCGCAAGCCUGAACGAGCAAUGCCGCGUGAAGGAAGAAGGCUUUCGGGUUGUAAACUUCUUUUCUCAGGGACGAAGCAAGUGACGGUACCUGAGGAAUAAGCCACGGCUAACUACGUGCCAGCAGCCGCGGUAAUACGUAGGUGGCAAGCGUUAUCCGGAUUUACUGGGUGUAAAGGGCGUGUAGGCGGGAAAGCAAGUCAGAUGUGAAAACCAUGGGCUCAACCUGUGGCCUGCAUUUGAAACUGUUUUUCUUGAGUACUGGAGAGGCAGACGGAAUUCCUAGUGUAGCGGUGAAAUGCGUAGAUAUUAGGAGGAACACCAGUGGCGAAGGCGGUCUGCUGGACAGCAACUGACGCUGAGGCGCGAAAGCGUGGGGAGCAAACAGGAUUAGAUACCC